AAUCCCAGACAGGGGGCCCAGUCUCCAUCUGUUACAUGAGCAGGAAGGAACCUCACAGGCACCAGGAGGAAGGGCACAAAGCCCAGGUGGACAGCUAAUGCACAGCACUGGCCUGCCAUGAUGUCCGGGGAAAGAGAAGGAAGGGGCGUUUGAGCUGCCCUCUAAUUCCAGCAGCCCCUGGACUGCCCCUCUCUGUUUAGCUCCACCAGGUUCCUGUAAAGAGCCGAGGCCUGGCUUCCCUUCACCUCUGUCCCACCAGAAUUCCCCUUGCAGAUUCGGAGGCAGAGGGACUGUCCUCCCCGGGGUUGGCACACAGGCGCGUGCGCAUCUGUUCCUCCAGGGCUUCCCCACCAGCAGAGCAGAGACGCCGCUGUGAGGUACCAAGGCAGAAGCAUGCUGCGUGGCCAAAUGGCAGAACCAAUCCAAACCAGAAAAAUAGAAGAUGGCGAUGGGGUGCCAUUGCAGGAGGUGCCUCGCGCUAGGAGGGAAGAUCUGCGCAUGCCCCCAAGCCCCCACCCCGAGCAAUGAUGCAGAGAAGCCUCCACCUCCACAUCCUACAAGACGCCUGCUCGCCUUCCCUUGGGGAGAAGGUGUUGAGAACCCCUUCAGACUGGCGCUAAGAGAGGAAGAGCCAACAAAUCAGACCUGUGGUCGAGAACUGUCAUCAUGCACAUAGAUCCUAGGAAGGAUCUGAAGCCAGGCAGAGCCCAGGUGAGAGUGGGCCACCCUUCGUGGAAGUGUUGCUUACAGCUGGUUGCUGGGAAUGAACGAGCAGGGUCAUCAGUGUGAGAUUAACGGGUUGAUGAGAUUUGUCAGCCAAGCCAAAGGUCGGAUUUCUAUGAAGAAUGCAGUUGCAGAAUCGAGUUGCUUUUUUUUUUUUCUUUUGAGGAAGAUUAGCCCUGAGCUAACAUCUGCCACCAAUCGUCCUCUUUUUGCUGAGGAAGACUGGCCCUGAGCUAACAUCCAUGUCCAUCUGCCUCCAGUUUAUAUGUGGGACGCCUACCACAGCAUGGCUUGCCAAGCGGUGCCAUGUCCGCACCCGGGAUCUGAACCAGCAAACCCUGGGCUACCAAAGCGGAACGUGCACGCUUAACCGCUGCACCACCAGGCCAGCCCCAAGUUGCUUUGUUUUUAAACUACAAAAUCCACAUAAUGUCACAUCACUGCAAAGGCAGGCGUGUUCCCUCUGGGUUCUGGUCGUGGGGCAAUACUAUAUUUUCCAGAUAGCUCCUGAUUGCAAUGAGCCAAAUUGGGGACCAAAUACUGAAUAUAUGACCUUGAAAGCAAGAACAGUAACCAAAGUGACUCUGCCUUCGUGCGCCUGCAGUCCCAGCGUUCCUCCGAGCUCGGCAACGUUUGACGUAAAGCAUCAGCCGCAGUGGGAAAACAAAAAUGCAACCUAAUCGGGUUGCUGAAGGGCUAGAAGGGAAACGGGUGGGGGAGUUUAUGUGGUUUUUAAAAUAGGAAGUUCUACCCCAAAGUGUGUCAUUUCUGAAGUGAGGGAAGUUCCCACAGGCUGCUCAAAGAGCCUGCACAAUAGCAGUUUGAUGUUUUCAACACAUUUAUGGUUCAUGAUAGUAAACACACGGCUUUUCUCCAGAUCAUACGGUGUUCUUGGGAUACGAAGUGACUAAAAUAUACCCCAAGCUUGGCUGCUCUGGGAUCUUAUGAAGCCAAAGAGAAACUCCUGCUUAGUCUUGUGAAAGAUUAGUUGCUUAUCAAGAAAAUGCAGUUUUUCGAACGUUUAAAGAGACUCAUUUGUGAGGAGAAUGGCGGUAAAGAAGGGGUGGUCGUCACCAUUACAGGAAAGGAAGCCUGGCUGAGUGAUGCUGAGGGCAGCUUGUGAAGAAGAGGAACUCUCACACAAGCCAGCGAGGUCCUCCAUAACUUAGGGCAUCUGACUCAGGUCAUAACUGAAAGAGACCCAAAUUAGACUCCAGUCAGGAAGCCCAGCUGCCAUGGGAGAGACGCCCUGUGCAGAUUUCUGAGGCGGGCGGGCUAGCCAGCGGCCCCUCUCACUGUGAAUGGCCCCAGUGUGCUCUGGCUCUGGUGUUCCAGCCACCCCCAGGGGGAGGGGAAGGCCUGAAUGACCCAGUGUCCCUGUGCAGGGGUCCUGACCUCAGAGGCUUUUCUGAAGCCUCCCAGAGCUCAGGAACUCCUCCAGACUGUGACAAAGCAAUUCUUCAGGGAGAUAGAGGAAGGAAAAAAAAAAAGAAAGACUCGAGAAUCAAGAUUGCCUCAUCUUAACCAAAUGCUUAAGAAGAGAUUGGCUCAUACCUUGUGUUUGCAUUCAAAGCUAGUGUUUUCAUUACUAAAGUUGAAGUUUGGCAAUUGCAAAUCAUCUGAUAAUGUAUCAGUGGUGUCAAAAGGGGAGGCUGAAAAAAAUGGAGGAAUGUGUUAGCAUGUGUGGUAAUACAGACCAGGGACUCUGGGGUCAAAUCCUGAGACCGCUACUUGCGGGCUGUGUGACUUGGGUGAGUCAUUUACCCUCCGUAUGUCUUGGUUUCCUCUGAAGAAUGGAGGAAAGUAAUGGGUAGGAUCCUUGUAAGGCCUAGGUGAUUUAGUACUUGGAAAGGCUGUGUAACGGUCACUUGGAGAGACUGAACGUCCAGUGCAACACACAUGUAUGUGUCAGGCACUGGCUGUCUGGGAGUCCAGCCUGGGAGCCGAGCACGUCCAUCCACCCCUCCACAUACUCUUCUAUCUUCGGCUCCUGUGACCCGGUUUUCUUUCUCCACCCCUCUGAUUCCUUUCCAAGCUCACCCCCGUCUGCUCAGCUCUUCCCUGUGAAGCUCCUCCAGGGUUGCUGCAAGGCCCUCUCCUGUUUCCCUCUUCUCUUCUCACUAGGCUAUCUCAUCCACACCCACCGUGUCCACUGCCAGCGACACACAAACGGCGCACAAAAUCACAUCUCCAGCUCAGACCUCUGGGCUGAGCUCCAGACCCAGGCAUCAACUGCACUCUUGACAGGUCCUCCUGGAUGGCUCAGAGGCACCGCAGACUCAGCAAGCGAAAAGCCCAACUCAUGCCUAUACACCCACAGCUGACCCCCUUCCGGGGCAACCUGGUUCAGCGACUGGCACGAUGCUCCAUGCAGACCUAGGAGGUGUCUUCACAUUCCUCUUUCCCAUCCAUUUUACCCACAAGCCCUGUCAGCUUUGCCUCCUAGGCACCUUUCAAACGCGUUUGCUCGUGUCUCUCCAUCUCCGCCAGGAUGACCCCAGGCUGAUUCUCCUGCUUGGCCGUUGUCUUCUAACUUCUAACACAAAGUGCGAUGGGGGAAAUGGUUAACAAACACACUGACAAACCAAUUAGGUAGUUUCUCAUAAUGUUAACUGCUGUGAAGAAAAAAUACCAGGGAAGUAGCCUAGAGAGUGACCCGGGGUGGUUGGGAGCGGCUUCUGAGGAGGCGAUGUUCGAGGAUCUUGAGGAAGAGGACUCCAGGCCUGCUUCAGAUUCACAGGUCCUGAGAUGAGAGUAAGCUUGAAGGGUUUAAGGGUUGGAGGCGAUCACAGGCUGGAGGUAAGAGAAAGAAUGGGGAGAUG
rnacentral:lncRNA from 1 species